rnacentral:rRNA from 1 species
GAUGAACGCUAGCGGCAGGCCUAACACAUGCAAGUCGAGGGGUAGAGGAAGCUUGCUUACUUGAGACAGGCGCACGGGUGCGUAACGCGUACGCAAUCUACAUUAUACAGAGGGAAAGCUCAGAGAAAUUUGGAUUAAUACCUCAUAGUAUUAUGAAAUCGCCGGGUUAUAUAAUUAAAGUUCCAACGGUAUAAGAUGAGCAUGCGUCCCAUUAGUAAGUUGGUAAGGUAACGGCUUACCAGGACAAUGAUGGGUAAGGGUACUGAGAGGGAGGUCCCCCACAUUGGUGCUGAGACACGGACCAGACUCCUACGGGAGGCAUCAGUAAGGAAGAGUGGUCAAUGGAGGCAAGUCUGAACCAGCCAUGCCGCGUGCAGGAUGACGGUCCUAUGGAUUGUAAACUGCUUUUAUACAUGAAGAAACACUCCCUCGUGAGGGAACUUGACGGUACUGUAGGAAUAAGGAUCGGCUAACUCCGUGCCAGCCGCCGCCGUAAUAC